rnacentral:rRNA from 1 species
GGGAACUGCGUUNUGAACUGGGUGACUAGAGUGUGUCAGAGGGAGGUAGAAUUCCACGUGUAGCAGUGAAAUGCGUAGAGAUGUGGAGGAAUNCCGAUGGCGAAGGCAGCCUCCUGGGAUAACACUGACGUUCAUGCCCGAAAGCGUGGGUAGCAAACAGGAUUAGAUACCCUGGUAGUNCACGCCCUAAACGAUGUCGAUUAGCUGUUGGGCAGCAUGACUGCUUAGUAGCGAAGCUAACGCGUGAAAUCGACCGCCUGGGGAGUACGGUCGCAAGAUUAAAACUCAAAGGAAUUGACGGGGACCCGCACAAGCGGUGGAUGAUGUGGAUUAAUUCGAUGCAACGCGAAGAACCUUACCUGGUCUUGACAUGUACGGAACCCUCCAGAGACGGAGGGGUGCCUUCGGGAGCCGUAACACAGGUGCUGCAUGGCUGUCGUCAGCUCGUGUCGUGAGAUGUUGGGUUAAGUCCCGCAACGAGCGCAACCCUUGUCAUUAGUUGCCAUCAUUAAGUUGGGCACUCUAAUGAGACUGCCGGUGACAAGCCGGAGGAAGGUGGGGACGACGUCAAGUCCUCAUGGCCCUUAUGACCAGGGCUUCACACGUCAUACAAUGGUCGGUACAGAGGGUAGCCAAGCCGCGAGGUGGAGCCAAUCUCACAAAACCGAUCGUAGUCCGGAUUGCACUCUGCAACUCGAGUGCAUGAAGUCGGAAUCGCUAGUAAUCGCAGGUCAGCAUACUGCGGUGAAUACGUUCCCGGGUCUUGUACACACCGCCCGUCACACCAUGGGAGUGGGGGAUACCAGAAGU